rnacentral:lncRNA from 1 species
GUUGCCCAGGCUAGAGUGCAAUGGCAUGAUCUUGGCUCAAUGCAACCUCUGCCUCCUGGGUUCAAGCGAUUCUGCUGUCUCGGCCUCCAAGUAGCUGGGAUUGCAGGCACCUGCCAUCAUGCCUGGCUAAUUUUUGUAUUUUUUUAGAGACAGGGUUUCACCAUGUUGGCCAGGCUGGUUUCAAACUCCUGACCUCAAGGUGAUCUGCCCAUCUUGGCCUCCCAAAGUGCCGGGAUUAGAGAUGCCCAGUGACAGCACGCACUUUGCAGCACAACUGUGAGUUGACUGGAAGCCUGAGAGGAAAAGUACCCUCUAGAGUAAAGCCUGGCUGGCAGCUAAUAUGUUUAUAUCAUGUAUGGUAAUUCUAGAUAGUGUUUGGAAAAUAUAAAAGAAACUCGGCACUCUCACCAUUUCUAGGCUUCCAGGGGGUCCUGGAGUCUUAGCCGUGUAUCUCCCAAUAUCUGCGGGUCACAG